rnacentral:tRNA from 1 species
GGGGCUGUAGCUCAAUGGCAGAGCGCCCGCGUCCUUCGGGACGCGGGAGGUCAGUGGUUCGAUCCCACUCAGCUCCA